rnacentral:lncRNA from 1 species
GGUCAAUUGACAAUUUUGGUCAAAUUGACUUAAUUGAAGAUCUUACUUUGCUAAACAUUAUUGCUGUUUACAGUUUAUUUCUAUCUAUAAUUAUAUUCAAGAUAAUAAACAAAAACAGCAAAAUUUCCUUAAAAUUAUCAAUUCAGGGGCAGCAACCCAACAACAGGUUGUCUGAUUCAUCUGAAAAUUUCAGGGCAGAUAGAAAUUGACCUGAUAAACAAUAUUACCCAACAUCAGAUUUGCUCUAAAUGCUUUGGUUUUUGAGUUAUAAGCCAAAAACUGCAUUUGACCCCUAUGUUCUAUUUUUAGCAAUGGCGACCAUGUUUGUUGAUAGAUCAUAACUUCGGAUACAAUUUACAAACUAGAUAUCCUAAGGAACAUUCAGUUAAAGUUUGGAAGUAUUUGGCCCAGUAGUUUCAGAGGAGAAGAUUUUUGUAAAAGAU